rnacentral:rRNA from 1 species
GAGAUGUUGGGUUAAGUCCCGCAACGAGCGCAACCCUUAAGCUUAGUUGCCAUCAUUAAGUUGGGCACUCUAAGUUGACUGCCGGUGACAAACCGGAGGAAGGUGGGGAUGACGUCAAAUCAUCAUGCCCCUUAUGAUUUGGGCUACACACGUGCUACAAUGGACAAUACAAAGGGCAGCGAAACCGCGAGGUCAAGCAAAUCCCAUAAAGUUGUUCUCAGUUCGGAUUGUAGUCUGCAACUCGACUACAUGAAGCUGGAAUCGCUAGUAAUCGUAGAUCAGCAUGCUACGGUGAAUACGUUCCCGGGUCUUGUACACACCGCCCGUCACACCACGAGAGUUUGUAACACCCGAAGCCGGUGGAGUAACCUUUUAGGAGCUAGCCGUCGAAGGUGGGACAAAUGAUUGGGGUGAAGUCGUAACAAGGUAGCCGUAUCGGAAGGUGCGGCUGGAUCACCUCCUUU